rnacentral:rRNA from 1 species
CGGACGGGUGAGUAAUGUCUGGGAAACUGCCUGAUGGAGGGGGAUAACUACUGGAAACGGUAGCUAAUACCGCAUAACGUCGCAAGACCAAAGAGGGGGACCUUCGGGCCUCUUGCCAUCGGAUGUGCCCAGAUGGGAUAGCUAGUAGGUGGGGUAACGGCUCACCUAGGCGACGAUCCCUAGCUGGUCUGAGAGGAUGACCAGCCACACUGGAACUGAGACACGGUCCAG